AGCGAACGCUGGCGGCAGGCUUAACACAUGCAAGUCGAGCGGGCACUUCGGUGUCAGCGGCAGACGGGUGAGUAACACGUGGGAACGUACCCUUCGGUUCGGAAUAACGCUGGGAAACUAGCGCUAAUACCGGAUACGCCCUUUUGGGGAAAGGUUUACUGCCGAAGGAUCGGCCCGCGUCUGAUUAGCUAGUUGGUGGGGUAAUGGCCUACCAAGGCGACGAUCAGUAGCUGGUCUGAGAAGAUGAUCAGCCACACUGGGACUGAGACACGGCCCAGACUCCUACGGGAGGCAGCAGUGGGGAAUAUUGGACAAUGGGCGCAAGCCUGAUCCAGCCAUGCCGCGUGAGUGAUGAAGGCCUUAGGGUUGUAAAGCUCUUUUGUCCGGGACGAUAAUGACGGUACCGGAAGAAUAAGCCCCGGCUAACUUCGUG
rnacentral:rRNA from 1 species